rnacentral:lncRNA from 1 species
CUGGAGGCUCCGCGGCUGCCGAGCGGGAGGUGGAGCCGAGCCCGCGGCCGCCGAGCAGGAGGGAAAGUUCGGCGGCGGCGGGCGCAGCGGGAACCGGGCCGGGCAGCCCGGAGGGCGCCUCGGGUGGCGGCGCUGAACGCGGUCCUUGCAGAGGGGGGCAGCACUUUCACUCCGGACCCCUACCUGGGAGCCCGAGCGCGACUCCAGCGCUGUCACAGCACCAGAAGCAGAUGUGCGAGUCGGGAGCAGCACGUUGGCGGCUGUGCGCGGCUCUUCCUGGCAAGGCUCUUUUGCAUUUCAAGGAGAGAAGUCUAAGUGAUUUUUACCCAGGGGAGGAAUAAUGUAGAUCCUAACCUUUUCUUAUACUUCCAGGUCCCCACGUCUCAGUGGUCUCAGUGGUGCAUCAGGAGGGUUACGAUGGGAAUGAAUGGAAGAGCCUGGAGGAGCCUGUUAAAGUACCGCUUCUGCCUGGAAGAUCUUCCCUUAGAAGUGGGAGAGCUGUCUCCCGUGGCUGUUGACUCCAAGGAGCCGGACACGUUUUAAACGGAAAUGGACGACAGCCGCGCAGGGCGGCCCAGGCGCACGCUUCCUGUGGUCUAGUCUGGGAAGCCCUUCCGAGGGGACCUUGACGCUCUGGGAUGUCGCGCAUGCUGGACGCA